GUAGGGGGCAAGCGUUGUCCGGAUUUAUUGGGCGUAAAGAGCUCGUAGGCUGCUUGGUAAGUUGGGUGUGAAAUUUCGAGGCUCAACCUCGAAACGCCACUCGAUACUGCCAUGGCUUGAGUCCGGUAGAGGAGUGCGGAAUUCCUGGUGUAGCGGUGAAAUGCGCAGAUAUCAGGAGGAACACCUGCGGCGAAGGCGGCACUCUGGGCCGGUACUGACGCUGAGGAGCGAAAGCGUGGGGGAUCAAACAGGAUUAGAUACCCUGGUAGUCCACGCCGUAAACGUUGGGCACUAGGUGUGGGGCGUUAUCAACGCGUUCCGUGCCGUAGCUAACGCAUUAAGUGCCCCCGCCUGGGGAGUACGGCCGCAAGGCUA
rnacentral:rRNA from 1 species